GAUUUGGUUAAAGAUGACUUGCCUGAGUGAUCGAGGAUCAGAGAAAUGAAAGCGACGAACGAAAGCUGUGCUAGAAUUGUCCGUGAUAUGAUGUGGUUGCCUUAUUUCAAGGAAGGAAUCAAGUAUUUCAAACUUACAACAAUGGUGUUAUUACAUGGCACACUCAGUGGACCGACUGGAGUCUUGUUAUUUAGUAACGCAGACACAUAACGGUGAUCCUCAUAGAUCAACCGUCGUGGAAUAUCGUCGAAUGUCGUGAGCUGCGUAACGGCCGCCCGCUCUUCUGAGCUACUAUAUUCUUCAGAAUGUGGGAGUUGGACAUCGUCAGCUUGGGAUCAAAUUCUCAACAAUCACUCUAGCGCUAACCUCGAGCUAGUCAAGGCUAAUCUCAAAGAUAUGGUACCAUGAAGAUCAUUGAAGAAGUGGGUGAUGUUGCGACCCCAUGGUGUCAUUCUCUGGUUGUGGUCUCCAAGUCGGAUGGUGGAAUCAGGUUGUGUGUGGAUUUGACCCGCCUGAAUACUGAAGUGAUCCGUUCAAUCCAUCCCACCAAAACCCCUGUCCAAGCCAUUUCGGGUUUCCGACCAUCCGAUAAGUAUUUUGUGAAGUUGGAUCUUGUAGAAGGAUUGCAAAUGCCCAUAGAAAAGAAAUCGCAAGAGUUAACGACUUUUAUUAGGCCCUUUGGAAAAUUUCGUUUUUUUUUGCGCUCACCUAUGGGAUUUAUCUUUACUGGUGACUCUUUUUCUUAUAGAGGGGACGUUGCGAUGUCCGGUCUUGAUGUCCAAAAAAUCGUGGAUGACAUGGUUGUUGGCCGCAAAGAGUACCGUGACCUAGGCCGUACAUUUUGUGAGAUCUUGGAACGAUGUGUCCAAUAUGAGAUGACAGUCAAUGGAAAGAAGAGUACCAUUGGUGGGGCUGAGACGAUCCAAUUUGUUGGCUAUCGGAUUUCGCCGAACAGCAUCGAAGCUGAUCCGGAAAAAGUCGCCGCUAUUCGCCUUUUCCCUGUUCCAGAAGAUCGCCGUGAAGUCACCCUGACUAACUCGAACGAGAAACACGUGCACAAAAGAUCUCUUACGAAUCUAAAAUAUUUUCCAUUCUUUUAGGCUGCCUAGCACCCUCAAUGAGUUCUCAAACCCGCGGCCCCGGUGGAGGGCGGCCCCACGGCCCCCUGGGAUCAAGGGCCAAGAAGAAACGAGACCGGGAUCAAACUGCUCCCUCCGGGUUGACACCCGAAGAAAAAAUGCCCAAGCCCAACCAUGAUGGGCUUGGGCUAGGUAGCAAGAUAAGUCCUUGUGUUACUUUAACUAGUGGAACAAGUCCCCAAAACGUCGAACCUAAGGGUGAGACCCAACCAAUGGAGCCGGCCGGAUGCUUGGUGCCGCCAGGCAUGGGGCAGGAAAGGGCGGGUUCAAACCCUUCCCCCAAUAUUCCCCCGUCCUCGCCUUAUUGUGAGGGAGGGCAAUAUCUCUCUGAAUCAGAAUGCAUUUCAGCACUCAAUGGCUCUGGAAGCAUUCAUCUUUCAGACAACGAGGAACUCGCCGACCUGUCUGAGGAAGAAGAUGUUCCGUCCACAAUCGAGUACAUCAUCCUAAUAUGAUAUGGACAAAUGAUGUACAAGAUGAAUGAUUGCUCUCAGAACGGGUUUUAUCAAAAUGUUAAGAUAAUGUAUGUUAUUAUCUUGGGAAAAUCACAAAGUUGUUGGAUUGCCCAUCAUGUAGUCCGUUUGUUGGUCAGAUGUCGACCAAAUGCCAGCCUAAUGCUCGUAUUGACGUCGUGAUCCAUCAUAACCAGCUCCUCCAGCCCUUGAUCAUAGAUGUACAAUGUCGCUGGAACCGGUUGUAUCAAAGAGCUUUGUGAUUCAGUGUGAAUUAAUCUCUACAUCGUUCCUAUCACUAAGGAAAAGCUCCAGUACCCGAGGGGCUGGUCAGCCCAGCUACAACCAUGGGUGAGUAAUGUCGGCUACAUGUUUGAAGGGAGGAGAAACAGGAAAUCCUCGGUCAUCAAAAACGAUAUUCUCGUGAUCAUUUUGAGAAGGGGGAAGAGGAUCUGAACAAACAAUCUCAUCCUCAAUGAUCGAUGUUACCAAAAUGUCGGCCCCCUGACGGCAAAUGACGACCAAUCCCUCCUGGAUAUCCCGUUGGGACGUGGCUCCGGCCCAAUUUCAACCCUUUACCGUCUAGACGCAGUGGUGGUCAGAUGUGGCCCACAUGCCACACCUUACAGAAGAGGCGGAGGUAAUCCAUUGCCGGCAAUCUGAGGAACCCCUUGAUGGCCAAUGUGACUGGCCUGACGAAAGGAGGUCAACCCUGGACAUUGAAGAAACCGUCGCCGUCCACCAAGGGCCCUGGGACAAUCCGUUUAGCCUCCAUGAGGAAGAGGCGGAAGCCAACAUCGUACGGAAAAGUUAAAUCAACGAACAGUCACAUUUUCGCGCUCGAGGAGAGCAGAGUCACACAUCACCCUUCGUCGAGGACAGAAGUCACAUUUUCGUGCUUGAGGAGAGCAGAGGCACCAUUUUGGUUCUCGAGGAGAAAAGUCUGCUUUGAACCUCUCCAAGAAGUCACCAUUGAACAUUAAAGUGAAAACAACUCCCAUCUUGAAGCUCUUGCUGGUAGUUGAACGAGAACAUUUUGAUAGACGUGCUGGAGGUUGCAUCGAUCCUUUUUGAAUAAGGACAGUGGAAGCCAACGAUUGGAGUCGGGACCCAGGAAGCCGUGCAGAGUCAAGAGGACCUGGGGAAGUGCAUAGCAUACAUCAGUGAGCCAGCAUAGACGAGUUGAAAAGUCUCUGGAGCUGAGUACAGGUGCAACUUCUGAGUUAUACUCCAUCAAUUCGAUUCUGGACCUUCAAUCCCAUCGAACCGACGUCAUCGCCGUGGAUCUCCGUUAGACGCAAGAAUCACCAUCAUCAAAAGUAGGAUCAAACCAUUUUCUGUCCAUGUAUGUUUUCCCUCUUCCAUGGCCAAGCAAUUACCCCCUCAUUCAUUACCCGGGCAAGACAGCUGAUUGGUAGAGUGUCAUUCCAUGUAUAUAAUAGAAUAAAAUAGAUUGAACUGUACAGUUUGCCUUGAAGAGUAGCCAAGAUUGCCCAGACGACCGAGAUCGUGCUGGCAUCGUAGGGAGUAGAGGUAGCAAGUGACUUGUAUGCAACUGUAUCUAAAGUUCAUCACUCUUGUAGCAGAAAUCUGUAGUUAGACUCUAGAGUAGAGGUCGACUUUGAUAGACGCAUUUAGACUAGGAUAGUGACCACAUUUUGCAGGAUAGUUAGCCUUGAAGAUUAGCCCAGGUAUGCCAGACAACCGAGAUUGAUCUGGGACCAUUGGGGAGUAGAGGUAGCUAGCGAUUUGUAUCCUUAGUCAUUUAAUGAUUGUUUGAAGCCCUGAUAAAGGAAGCUCAAACUAUUGCUCGUAUGCCUUGGUUAGGGUUGUAACCGGAGGCCUUAAGAUAGGUCUACGAAAUUUAAGCCCUUGUGCUAGGUGCUCUCCACCUUUGAGAGCUAUCAAGGUAUUUUUACCUAGUGCUUGGGUCAGGAGUUCCAUGUUUCCGUUCACCACGGGAAUUCAAUAAGUCAGGACCUUUCACCCCUGGCUGGUGGAUGGAACACUCAACGACCCACACAUGAUAGUGAUCCUGAUUCAUGUCCCUAUUCGAAAUCCACAAAACAGUCUAGAGUUGUCCAAGAUUCACACCCUACCGUUCAGCAUUGAGACCCAAGGCACAGUCACACAGUUGAGGUUGCCGCCUUACUUUGUUAUGAAUAAAGAAGUAACUCUUUAUUCAAGCCUGUCAGAAGAAGAGGUCAACAAAUGCAUCCACUUGGGAGGAGUAUGGUUGUGUGGGAUCAGCGUACUCCAAAAGCAGUUUGAGGACAAUUGCGCUGCUAGCCUAUUGGCUGGGCGAUCAAUUGACAGGAAGGUUUGUGCGGUGGACAUUGUGGGGAAGUACCCGGCAGCAGUGCAACUCAAUCCAGCCACUUUCCUUCUCCACCACCCACAGCUAGCUACUCUGUAUCUCCAAUGUGCGGGGAACGGAACCACGCAAUGAACCCUUCAAGGAACAUUCAUAGCUCACCUAGAGGGAUGCAAAGGGAACACUGACUUCUACCAAGUGUUGGGUCAAAUCAGUCCGGGUCCCAAUGGGAACCAGUUCAUACACCCGGAGCAGGAAUAUAAUGCAAGUAACCCUCUGAAUGCCAUGGAAAUUGAUCAAGUACAUAACCUUAAACUCAAUAAAAUGACGCCUAUUGACUUAGAAGAUCAAAAGGUAAUUCCGCCUUCAACAACAGAUUGGGAGAGACCUCUGUUGAUAGUAGGACUAACUGUUGGAAAUUGAGCUAGCUAGGAGGGCAAGUUGAUGUGACAGAGAGAGUUGGAGAACUGUUGUUUUAUUCGACAAACGCAUGGUUUUUAUAAUUGACUAGAGUGAUGACUAGAUGCGAGUAAGAGCAUAAAGUGCAAAUCCCAACACUAACCUUAGCAAUUGGGGGCAUAAUCUCGACUACAUGGGGAUGUAGAAGAAGGAAGGAACUGAGAAUUAGGGACCGAGCACAGUAACACAGCCCGGGGGACAUGCCAUUAAAUAUCCUCCCUCCUAGCUGGCAAGGGGUGAGCACAGAAGCUCGGCAAUCAUUCUCGUAAAAAAAAAGAA